CGCGGACGACGUAGACGACGAGGUGCUGGAUGAGGAUGACUUGAAGCCGCCGCCGACCAGCUUGUCUCCGGGGUGCGUGCCCGCUGCGCCCAUGGCACCGCGCAGCUCGGUGCUCAGCUCCGGCGGGCAGUCGCUCGGUGUGGACGAGGACACGGUGCCUCCCGAGAAGCCGCCGCCGCCGCCGCUGCCUUUGCUCCGGGCGGGUAGAAAAAGGUCAUCGGGUUCCGGCGACGACGGGCGGCUGGACACCAGACUGGCGUCCGAGUCCAUGGCCCCAGGCAGUAGGCACAGCUUACGCCGGGGACUCCCGCCCUCGAAUCGCGUUGCUUCCACGCGCGCCUCCUGCAGAGAGGAGGGAAACAGGAGAGAGACACACCGAGAGACACUAAGUCAGCACGAGGGAAAGUUCGCUGCUCCCGCCUGCACCUCAGCGCCGCAUCCAAGCGCCGGUGGCGGACCACCUCGCGGUUCUCUUUGGCCUUCCUUCUAGGGACUUGCAAGUACUCGCAAAUAAUUUCUUCCCACCGCCUCUUCUUUGCCCCUGCCCACAGUUUGUUUUAUUACGGGGAACCCUGAGUGUCCCUCACAACUGGGGGUUGUCAGGACGGCAUCCUAGAGGUUUUGCACCUUCGGUUGGGAAUGGGGAGGCUGGGUCUCUAGGGCUGAAAUAAAAGAGUGGCCGGCGGGGGCUCUUCUUUGGGGAGGGUGGAGAGCUAAGUAGAGAAGCACUUAUUUGGUUCCUCAAAUCCAUCCAUCGCAUUUCCAUCAACACCGCGCAGCAAACACACGCGCAAAUCCGCGGAUUCCGUGUGUGGCAUCCCGGGGCCGCGCGGGUGGCUCGUCAGCUGACGGAGAUUUGGGCAGAAGGAACUGCUGUCGCCCCGACUUCUCGCUUUUUUGCGAAGAGGCUGCUGCGGAUCUCUGCCUUCAGCCCCACCACAUGAGGAAUGAAGGAUCACGGGGGAGUACUGAGCUUACUACCUGUGUACCUUUGCUAGACAAGACAGAUUGGUAAACUAAAUAACUAAACUUUAAGCAGCCAAGUAGAAUGAAGGCAGGAUGCCCUCGAAAGCAGAAGUGACGGCUGAAGGACACGGAAAAGCCAUGAAAAGCAGACACAAAACCUCCCAAACCAUCAUCGCCGGGGUCAGGAGGCAGGAGGGCACAGCCAUUGAGGAGACGAAGAAUAGCACACAGUCGUAUUGUGCUGCCUGGUUUACAGAGCUCUCUCGCACAUUCUAUUUCGU